AUGUUCCAAGCAUCUGGCUGUGGAAGGUAGAAUAGAAAUUUUAACAACAAAAUCCUAACUCUAAUAGAAUACUAACUAAACUCUAAUUAGACCAUAACAAUGCUAAAUAAGCUUUAAUCAGAUUCAAAAAAAUCUCAAAAGAAUUACAAAGAAACAAUAAGAAAUCUUAAAGAAAUAUUAGAGUGAUCACAAAUAUAUCUCAAAUAUAUCUCAAUUCAAUCUUAAUUUAAUCCUAGUUAAAAUUCUAUUGGACUUCAUUCAAAUUUUAGGCCAAAAACUAAUUAAAUCUUAAACCUUAAAUAAAUCCUAAUAAAAUCCUAAAUCUUAAAUCAAAUCCUUAUCAAAUCCUAAAUCAAACCCUAAUCAAAUCCUAAAUCCUAAAUUAAAUCCUAACCAAAUCGUAACCAAAUCUUAAACUCUAAAUCAAAUCCUUAUCAAAUCCUAAAUCAAACCCUAAAUCCUAAAUCAAAUCCUAAUAUUUCCUAUAAUAUAUUUAAAUCUCAAUUAUUAAUACAUAAAUUGUUGAUUUUAAUUCAAAAUAUUCAUGUUUUUUAAUAAUUAUGUUGAAAUAAAUAUAAAUAAAUUUGAAAGGGAUCGAAAUUAUCAAAUAGACAAUAGCCUCAAAAACGUAUUUGAAUAUUGGUUGGCCUCUUUCUUUGACCUUGAUGCCAAUCUCCCAAAGCCAAUAUCUCUUCUUUUUACAAUUUAAUUGAUCUCAAAAUUCUCAUAUACAUAGGAAAACAAGACUAAUAUCCUCACACAUAAAUUUCACUCCAAUCCAACUAGUAAAUUACAAGAAAUCUUAAAAAUUCUCACUAGACCUAAAAUUCUAUUUUUUGGGACCUUGA
rnacentral:lncRNA from 1 species